GAAAAAGUAUUGCAAGAACUGCUAAUUCAUGCUCCCGUGAUUAACAAGUCACGGCUUUUUCA
rnacentral:tRNA from 1 species